UACGUAGGGGGCAAGCGUUGUCCGGAAUCAUUGGGCGUAAAGCGCGUGUAGGCGGCUCGAUAAGUCCGCUCUGAAAGCCCGGGGCUCAACCCCGGGAGGCGGGCGGAUACUGUCGAGCUAGAGUCCGGAAGAGGCGAGUGGAAUUCCUGGUGUAGCGGUGAAAUGCGCAGAUAUCAGGAGGAACACCAAUGGCGAAGGCAGCUCGCUGGGACGGUACUGACGCUGAGACGCGAAAGCGUGGGGAGCAAACAGG
rnacentral:rRNA from 1 species